rnacentral:rRNA from 1 species
UAUCCGGAUUUAUUGGGCGUAAAGGGCUCGUAGGCGGCUCGUCGCGUCCGGUGUGAAAGUCCAUCGCUUAACGGUGGAUCUGCGCCGGGUACGGGCGGGCUGGAGUGCGGUAGGGGAGACUGGAAUUCCCGGUGUAACGGUGGAAUGUGUAGAUAUCGGGAAGAACACCGAUGGCGAAGGCAGGUCUCUGGGCCGUCACUGACGCUGAGGAGCGAAAGCGUGGGGAGCGAACAGGAUUAGAUACCCUGGUAGUCCACGCCGUAAACGGUGGACGCUGGAUGUGGGGCACGUUCCACGUGUUCCGUGUCGGAGCUAACGCGUUAAGCGUCCCGCCUGGGGAGUACGGCCGCAAGGCUAAAACUCAAAGAAUUGACGGGGGCCCGCACAAGCGGCGGACAUGCGGAUUAAUUCGAUGCAGCGCGAAGAACCUUACCUGGGCUUGACAUGUUCCCGACGACGCC